rnacentral:rRNA from 1 species
AGAACGAACGCUGGCGGCGUGGAUAAGACAUGCAAGUCGAACGCGACUUACUUUGUUAGUAAUAACAGAGUAAGUUGAGUGGCGAAAGGGUGCGUAACACGUGGGAAUUUACCAAGAAGUGGGGAAUAGCUCGACGAAAGUCGAAUUAAUACCGCAUAUGAUCGCAAGAUCAAAGCCGGGGACCGCAAGGCCUGGCGCUUUUUGAGAAGCCCGCGGCCCAUCAGCUAGUUGGCGGGGUAACGGCCCACCAAGGCUAUGACGGGUAGCUGGUCUGAGAGGACGACCAGCCACACUGGAACUGAGACACGGUCCAGACACCUACGGGUGGCAGCAGUCGAGAAUUUUUUCACAAUGGACGAAAGUCUGAUGGAGCGACGCCGCGUGGAGGAUGAAGCUUUUCGGAGUGUAAACCCCUUUCGACCCGGACGAACUGCCCCCGCAACGGGGACUGGACGGUACGGGUAUAAGGAAGCCCCGGCUAACUACGUGCCAGCAGCCGCGGUAA